AAGAGGUAGAAAAGCCGCAGAACAGCCAUAAAGGAAAGGCUGAGCACAGGCUGCAUGGAGGCAAGUCACUGCUGCUCAGACCAGUGUCUUUAAUUGCUGCAUCUCUUCUGCCUGUGCCCAAGGAGCUGAUCCCAGGUGACUCCAACAGACAAUGUCAUUUAAAUCAAUUAUCUCCCUAUUUGGAGCCAUCCACCCUCUCCCUCCUUCACCAUACAGCCACAAGCCCCAUAAUUUAUUCAUCCUCGGCUGCACUUAAACAUCUGCUCCACUGCCAUUUGAGUUUGGCAGAGCAUUAGCUUUAAAAUUUCAUGAAACAUAGUGCAGGUGGCAAAAUCAGAAAUUAAAGAUUAUAAUCACGGCAAAGCUGGGUUUGUGAGCCAGCUCCAGCUCAGGACAAGAGGCGGCAGGAGAACCCCUGGGGAUUUAAUGCCCCUCAGGUGUUCAAAUCACAUUUUUAUUCCCUUUUCCCAAAGCUUGUGGGGGGGAUUUUUACAUCACCACUGCUCUUAGGUAGAUGUUAAAGUGAGGGAAGCAUCUUGUGCUCAUUGCUCCUUGGGUUUUGUUGCUCCACUGCUGCUGCCAGAAAAUUUUUCUGGCCAUCGGUUGUUUUUGUAGGCUGAUGUGUCCCCUGAAAGGUGUCUGAAGACAUCUUUGCUCACCAAAUUUGGAUUAGCAAGAUUUAAUGACAUCCUCCACCCCUGCUGUGCUUGUGGGAAGAAAGAACCAUGCUGGAACUGUGCCACAGUUCCCUCUCCAGCCCUAGGGAUCGGCCACAAAGUAGGGAUGAGGUGCUGGAGCAAUGUUGGUUUUAAGAAAAAAUCAGAAACCUAUGUGUCCCCAAUCCCUGCUUUCACCACAGAGCCACAACCCUCUAAAACACACUGGUUAUCCGCAGUGGUUCCCUGUGUUUAUAGCUAAUGAAGAGAGAUUUGGAAAGAAAAUAUUUGCUUUAGCAAUUCCUCUUUCAUCUAUUAACCCAGUUUUCAUCGUUGCGCAGAGCUGGGUCUGAGGGAAAAGGGACCAGGAGGGAGGGCAGGGGGCUAGCUGGGGAAGUUAGAGGGAAUUGAGAGACCUCUGUGCCUCUAGAUCUGGCACUGAUGAUGCUGAGGAGCUUCACCAUCCAGCAAUUUCUGAGCCAUCAGGCAUCCUGUCCCACAGAGGAGAUCAACUCCUACUCCUCUUCCCAAGUGUUAAGAGGAAGACCAAGGGGAUUAUUUAGUGUUCAGCUGUACUUUGAUGCCUGGGGAGCUUCUGGAGUACAGGAGAUUUUAGAUCUAUUGAAGCACCUGGCAGCUAACCAGGUGAUGAAAGAGCCAGCAUGCAUUUGUCACACAGAGAUCACAUCAAACCCUUGAAUUCCCCUCUUUGCUGAGGAAACUGGAUGUGUGGAUGAAGACGCUGAAAUGAGACACAUCCUGACUUUAGGAAGGCCUUAGACCUCGUGUGACAUUUUGGGAAGGAAAUCAGGCUGUUUGGGCUGGACACAGACCCACAGUGCUGCACAGCUUGCUGGAAAAUUCUCUCCCAAAGGCACAGCCGAGCUCCAGCCUUGGCAGGGCUCUGAGGGGCUUCCCUCCACACCAGCCUCCUAGUUGGUCCCCUGUGUUCAAUCUCCCUGGAUCAAGGAUGUUGUUUUAAAGAGAGCAACCAGCCAGCUCUCCAAAUCCAGUCCCUGCACAGCAGGAAGGACUUGCCUGCACACCACCAACUCUCAGUGCUGGGUGAGGAGGCACCAGCCUGGGCAGUCCAGGGCUGCACAGGUUCUAAUGUGACAGAGAACAGCACAAGGACAGCUGGUACACAGAUGAUCCACUCGGACCCAAAUUUAGGGCAAGACAUAGGAGUAAACAUGCACUGAUGGAAUUCUCAGGUUAUGCUUUGAAGUCUUAAUGAUAGAAGGAAGGGAGGAGCCAUCUCCAAGGGUUUGGGGCUUCAGUUUUAUUGGGUUUAUGGAAGGAAAACAUGUGGGGGGAAAGAGGGUGACUUUUAACCAGUUUUAUCUCCACAGGUUGGGACAAGACUCCCAUCAGGACCUGCCUUGUUCCCCAUUUUAGCUUUGAAACUUCCUACAGCUCUGGAUUCUCACAAGUGCAAACUGAACUUUACACUAAGUAACCUUUUUGAGCAACUUUUCCUUCCAUAAACUCGGAAAAGUGCUUUUAUGGAGAGGGGUCUGGCUGGAACCUAUACCAGCGUUCUGAGAGGACCAGUGCCCCAAUUCCCCCUGGUUUUGAGGAUAAGGCAGGGCUGGGGCAAUCUCUGACCACAGUGAUGGAAUAAGGAGGAUUUAUCAGAGUUGCUGCUCUCAGGUGAAGUUUGGGAAGUUCUUACCUCACCAACCCCUCACACCCAAAUGCAUCCUCAGCACCCCCUGCAGAUUUUUGUACUUCAAAAGCCUCCACUAGAUCCUGCCUAAGCCCAGGCACGGACUCGAGGCUGCGAGGAGCCCCGGGCGUGGGUUCCUGGGCAGGAGCCUGUUUUGGGGUGUCGCUUGUGAGUAAGGAGCUGGGCGCAGCAGGAUGGGACCUGGAUGUGAAUGGGCAAUACUGGGGAAGGCUCUAAAUAGGACAAUCACAGUGGGACUCUUAGUACCUGAGGACCCCAAGGUACAGAUCCAGCACUUCCAUGUACCCCCAGUGAGCCAGGCUUGCCCAGGGCCUAACAUCCAAUUCAGAAACCAGGUCCCUGUGAGCGCGGAGCUGUCACUUUGACGGAGCGACCCGUAACUUCUCUGGCUAAUUGUCAAAGCACAGCACUCAAUCCAGGGCACUCUUCCCUCGGGAAAGUGGCUUCUCCUACCUGAACUGGCAGGAGAGCAGCCCUAGGAAUUGGGAACAUUGCAUCAUUCCCAUGGCAACAGCCUGGGAGGCUGCGAAUGGAGAAUUAUGACUUUGUUCCCCGUUCUGGCACGAGGAGAAGCUGGGCUUUACAGGAUUAAGCAGAUCCCAGCUCAAACAUCCAGGGUACCACUGGAGGGAAUAAUGAAUAGUAAUAGCAGAAUAAAUGGGUUUUGAUCCAAGGCUCUGUCCAAACAGUAUGAACAACCCACUUUGUUUAAGUUUGGUCGGUUUCCAGGCCGAGUGUGAACCCGCCGGGGGUUUCUGAGCUGGGACACGAGCAAGGCUGUGCCACCAUUCACUUCAUGGACACUUCUGAGGAAUAAACUGGUCAUUAAACGUGAGGCCAAGAAUGAUCACUAUCAUCCAGGGUCUCCUGAAUUAAAGUUCACUUUAUUCUAGGCUCCUUUUUAUCUCAAAAGAGCAGAAUCUUCACACUGCAGGAAUACUUUGGUAGACUAUAAGUCCUCACGUGAGGAUCUAAUGAGGAUAUUUGGCUUAAUGACUAUUUUUGCAAGGGUUGCAGCAGCCAGGACUUUGGGAUAAGCCUGUGGCUGAGCCCAGGGCUGUGGCCACCUGGAGCCAUGGGGCUCACAUCCUCCUCUGCAGCAGCUCCCCAUUGUCCAGCACCCUCGUCAUCCCUCAUCCAUCCCAUGGGAAGAUCCUGCCAUUGGACAUGUGGAUAGGACCUCAACAUCAAUGGCUGUGGUAGCUCUGCCUGUUUUCCAGCUUUUUUGAGCAUGGCUGUUCCUCCCUUGCUAUGGUGUCUCUGCACCAGGGUUUUUCUCUGCUCUCCCCACUUGCUUGAUGACUGUCAGCCCUGUGCAGCCCUGUGCCUCAAAACCCAUCCUGUGUUUCAAAGUCUGGAGGAAAUGAUGCACAGACCCUUCCUUUCUUCCUUUCCUUUUUCUCUCUCACUGCUAUCAAACAAGAGUGAGGAAAGAUGUAGGGAAGGAAAUUAAGGAGGUGCUGCCACCCAGGGCACAGCAUUUUCCCCAGCCAAUUGCACAUCCUCCAGAUCCAUCCCCAAUCCAGAUGACACUCCACAGCAGCUCCAAAUCCCUGAGCACUGCCUGAUUUACUUCCCAUAGGAGACCCCAUCACCGGGCAAACCCUCCUUUGCUCCCGUCUCUCCCUUUCUGAGUAUUUGUUAUUUUAAGCCAACCCCUCAGGGAUUCAAUUUCUGUGCAGAAUGUGGGGAUUUAGCCACACAGCCCAUGUUAAUGCUAAUAGGAUUAUCAUUGAAUCAUGGAAUCGUUUAGGUUGGAAAAGACCUUUAAGACCAUCGAGUCCAACCGUUCCCCCGGCACUUGCGAGGCCGCCACUAAACCACGUCCCUAAGAGGGAGAUUUGCACAGGGGAGCUCCAAACCUUCCCACCGAGUGCCUGAUGUAUGGCCAACAAGGAAUGGAGAUGCAGCAGCUUCAGACUGUGAGUGUUGAGCCCAAAUUCAACCCCCGACCCCUGGGAUGAAGCAGAGGAUUAACAGAUAUGUGUGUAUGUGUAUUUUCCCCCAACACCGAGAUGUUGUUAUUGUCCUAAUGAAGAUUUUGGAGCUUUUCCUGAUGUCCCACAAAAAGCCCAUGGAGAUAUCAGUUCCUCCUUGUGCUGAUCUUGCCUCCAGCUGCUGAAAGUAAGGAAUGAAAAACAAUGCUAAAGGCUGAAAACAUCUCUGAAUGGGACACUGGGUGGGCCUCAGGGUGCUGGACGUCUUUGGGAGCCUGGGGACAAGGAAAACAGUAAAGCAUCCAGGAGUGAUGUCUCCUUUUCACACAGAAAAUUAGGAAUGUCCCUGUGUCCCUGUGCUGGCAGGAGUGUGAAGGAGCAGACACAUCUCCCCCACUGAGGAAUGUCCCUGUCCGCAUGUCCGUGUGCUGGCACGAGCUCCCGCCCACCUGAGGGACACAAAAGAGAGAUGAAGAUUUCCUGCUGAUCCAGCUGUUUCUCUGGAAAUGCAGAUUGGCUGAGCGGUGCCUUUGGGAUUUCUUAUUAGGUUUUUCCUGUAUUAAUUCUGUGCAAGGAGUUGUACAAGCAGCCAUGGGUUUGUUCCCACUGAUUUUUCCAAGCAGACCACAGCUGAAGUGUUUGCCCCAGCCCAACAACCCGCAGAGGGGUGAAGGACCGGUGCUGGUUCUGCCACAGCCCAUCCCACAGCACAGAUGGUCCCAUAAUUGCUGCUCGCUUUCCCAUCCUGACUUUCUGGGACAUGUGUUUUGCAUUGCGAUCCCCUCAGCCUCCCUGGUUUUGUGAAUCACACUUCAUAAAAGAAUGGCUACCUUGGGAACUCAAGGCAGGACAUUUAUUCUUCCUGUGCAUGCGAGUUUGUCACUCCCUGCCACGGCCCAGCUCAUAAAGCAGAGUCUUUGCUUUUAAUCCUGAUUUUUCAAUGUACUGAAGUACACACAUUCACCUCUACCCACCGUAACACUCAGGGAAGUUCUUAGCUCUUAGUCCUAUGAUUCUCUGCUUUAAUUCAAUCUGGUCUCAUUUCCUGACUGUGCUGGUCCCCACUGAGCUAUUCUCAUUGUCCCUUGUUUUUGCCCUCCAUCAAUAAAUUACAAAUAUUAUAUCUAUUAUAUAUUCCUUACUAAAGCACUUUAAAGUGUUGAUGAGAGGUGAAAUAAGAAAUAGAACACAGUAAUCCCCUUUCAUUUGCUGAACUUCCUUGGCACUGCUGCUUCACAGACAAUGUCAGACACAAACAGCACAAACUUUUCUAAAACUAAAAUAAAUUAAAAUAAGUGAUAUAUUAAACCUUUGUUGCAGCAACAGCACCAAAAAGCUGCAGAUGAUUCCCUGAGAUGCCAAUACAGUAAUUUGGAUUUUUCCAGUGCUGGCUCAGCUGUGUGUGCCUGUCCCACCCCAGUACCUGGAGGAAUCAGUGUCUCCAAAUGGCUGAAUUUCCUCUCAAGCUUCUCCUGUGUAACAUCUGGAUCCUGCAAUAAUCAUACCAGUGCUUGAUCCUGCUGUUGUUUGCAAGAUCCCUGUGGACCACCAGAACAAGGCAGGAAGUAUUGCAGGCUCUUAGGUCUCCUGCAGUUUAGCUGAAUUUCAAGCAGAUCAUCAGGGUCUCGCCCUCAUUGUGUGUGUAUUUAUCUCCUGGAGCCCCAUGGGUUGCUUGUUCCAUGUGUCAGUUCCUUCCCAGCUGUUUCCCAAAUUUAAGAGAAAUAGGACAAAUUUGGUACUGGAACAGGCUCCUUGGGGAAGCAGUCACAGCUACAAGCCUGAGGGAGCUCAAGAAGUGCUUGGACAAUGCUCUCAGGCACAUGGUGGGAUUUUGGGGCUGUCCUGUGCAGGACUAGGAGUGAGGCUCGAUUCCUGUGGAUCCAGCUCAGGAGAUUCCAUGAUUCUAUGGAAAAACCCCAUUCUGCAACUGAUGGAGAGGCUUCAGUGAUGGGGACUGUGGUACUGCUGAAGAUACUGAACAAAUAACUUCCGUGGCUUGCUGGGUCUGCUUUAGGGCUUUAAACUCAUGUUUCCAGGAAAACAUGGAGUUUUCCAGAUGUUCUCAUUGCUGCCAUGUCACCUGUUGGUCAGACCAUAGAAGCCAUGGACACCUGAGUGUCCCAGUGAGGACAGGGUCUGUGGGGAAGCUCUGGGACACCUGAGAACUCCCUGUUGGCCUUAUUCCCCCUAAAAUGCAGCGGGAUAUUCCCCUGGUGCUGACUCACAAGGCUGCUCAGAUACCACACAGGGGGUGUCCGUGGCCUUUCCAGUGCCCAUUUCGGUGCGGG